CCUACGGGUGGCAGCAGUGAGGAAUAUUGGUCAAUGGGCGGGAGCCUGAACCAGCCAAGCCGCGUGAGGGAAGAAGGUACAGCGUAUCGUAAACCUCUUUUGUCAGGGAACAAAGGCGGGGACUAGUCCCCGGAUGAGGGUACCUGAAGAAAAAGCAUCGGCAAACUCCGUGCCCGCAGCCGCGGUAAUACGGAGGAUGCGAGCGUUAUCCGGCUGUAUUGGGUUUACAGGGGGCGAAGGCGGCCUGUUACGUCAGAGGUAAAAGCCCGGGGCUCAACCCCGGCGAGCCGGUGAAACUGGCGGUCUGGAGUUGGAGAGAGGUACGCGGAAUGCGCGGUGUAGCGGUGAAAUGCUUAGAUAUCGCGCAGAACCCCGAUUGCGAAGGCAGCGUACCGGCUCCACACUGACGCUGAGGCACGAAAGCGUGGGUAUCGAACAGGAUUAGAUACCCGUGUAGUC
rnacentral:rRNA from 1 species